rnacentral:rRNA from 1 species
UGGGGAAUAUUGGACAAUGGGGGGAACCCUGAUCCAGCCAUGCCGCGUGUGUGAAGAAGGCCUUAUGGUUGUAAAGCACUUUAAGCGAGGAGGAGGCCCCCUUGGUUAAUACCCAAGAAGAGUGGACGCUACUCGCAGAAUAAGCACCGGCUAACUCUGUGCCAGCAGCCGCGGUAAUACAGAGGGUGCGAGCGUUAAUCGGAUUUACUGGGCGUAAAGCGUGCGUAGGCGGCUUUUUAAGUCGGAUGUGAAAUCCCCGAGCUUAACUUGGGAAUUGCAUUCGAUACUGGGAAGCUAGAGUAUGGGAGAGGAUGGUAGAAUUCCAGGUGUAGCGGUGAAAUGCGUAGAAAUCUGGAGGAAUACCGAUGGCGAAGGCAGCCAUCUGGCCUAAUACUGACGCUGAGGUACAAAAGCAUGGGGAGCAAACAGG